rnacentral:lncRNA from 1 species
GUGUGGACUGCUGCAUAAGAAAAACAACUUAGCCAGGCAAUGACUGCCGUCUCGUGGCAUUUUCCUGAUGUCAUAGUGGCUCCAUAUUGGAGGGGGUGGCAAAUGGCAACAUAGCGGUCAUAGGACAUGACAGUGAGAAAGGCCAGUUCAGCAGAUGCAAAAGCAAAGAAAAAGUAGACUUGAGCCACACAGCCAAGAUAAGAGAUGGAGCUGCUGUGGGUCAGAGAGCUGUGGACUGACUUAGGCACGGUGACUGAGAUGUAGCACAAAUCCAAAAAGGAGAGGUUCCUUAGGAAGAAGUACAUGGGCGUGUGCAGAUACUGAUCAAGAGUAAUGAGCAUGAUGAUGAGAAGGUUCCCCACCAGAGCUGCCAGAUAAAUCAGCAGAAACAGUCCAGCAAGUAGCAUCUGUAGCUCCCAGACAUCAGAAAACCCCAUGAGCAGGAAUUCUGUCACUUCCACGAGAUUGUCCAUUGGAAGGUGAAACUAAGACAAAGCAAGGUCAAGUAGCUUGCCCAAGACCACUCAAAAAGCCAGAUCCUGCGCCAGCACUCAAAUCAAGGUAGUCCAUCUCCGGGAUCAGUGUCGCUAACCUCUGCAUUCUACUAAUCUACUUUAAUGGGUAUCUCUGUGCUGGAGACCAACCGGAAGGGAAAUUUUAAAGAACAGGAUUGCUGGAUCAUAUGAGGCUGUAGAUGAGGGGAUUCAACAUGGGUGUAAGAAUAGCAAAGAAGACAGACACCAUCUUUUCCUGCAUGGGGGAAUGAUGAGAAGCAGG